GUGGGUCCUCUGCUGGUUUCUCCUCAGCUCCCUCUUUCGUGUAGUUAUAUUUAGCAGGAGGCUCUCCUGGACUAGAAGGUCUGAAAUGACCCAACUCCCACGUCUGGCAGCUGGUGCUGACUGUACUCGGGCAUAACUGUAUCUGCCUCCAUGCAGGCUGGCCCUGUUUCUCACCUGGUGGUCUCAGAACAGUGCUUCAAAUGGUGAAGACAGAGCCAUAAAGCCUCUGAGGCCUAUCUAGUCUUAUAAGUUACAUCAUGUCACUUCUGCUACCUUCUACUGAUGAAAGGAAGUCCAAACCGGAUUCAAGAGAUGUUCUGAAGUUCCCAAAAUAAAUAGAGAUAAUUAAUGAUCCACAAUAUCUGGAAGAUAAAACAAGUGCUUACCUGUUUGCCUCGCCAUCUGUUCCAGUUUGGAUUGGAUAAGUACAUAUUCAGUGGCCCCAAACAGCAUGCAAGUUUCAAAUUACCCACUGUGGCUGGCUCCAGUUCUAUCUGGUUGAUUCUGAUUAUUUCAUUACAACUGUUCAGAUUUAUAAACCCAGCAAUUAAAAGAAUGUAGACAUGUUAAUACCUAAGUAGUCCUUAACCACAAUGCCUUAAAAAAGAAGUUUUACAAGACUUUGUUUCACUGAAGGACCAUUAUUAUUUUAAUGGAACAUGUUAUACAUGCACAUUAUUUUAAAAGGUUUUUUCCUUCCUUUCUGGAUUUGUCACACCUUAAUUUACAAGUAGAAAAUUAACUGUACUUUGUUUUUAAUUGUUCCAAAUAUGAUGAUGGUGAAAAGAAACAAUACAAAUUCUAACUUUCCUACCAA